AACGUAGGUGGCGAGCGUUAUCCGGAUUUACUGGGCGUAAAGGAUGCGUAGGCGGAUAUUUAAGUGAGAUGUGAAAUACCCGAGCUUAACUUGGGUGCUGCAUUUCAAACUGGAUAUCUAGAGUGUGGGAGAGGAGAAUGGAAUUCCUAGUGUAGCGGUGAAAUGCGUAGAGAUUAGGAAGAACACCAGUGGCGAAGGCGAUUCUCUGGACCAUAACUGACGCUGAGGCAUGAAAGCGUGGGUAGCAAACAGG
rnacentral:rRNA from 1 species